rnacentral:rRNA from 1 species
CCCUUAGAUGUUCUGGGCCGCACGCGCGCUACACUGAUGAAUGCAACGAGCUCUACCCUUGACCGAAAGGCCCGGGUAAACUUGUGAAACUUCAUCGUGAUGGGGAUAGAUUAUCGCAAUUAUUAAUCUUCAACGAGGAAUUCCUAGUAAGCGCGAGUCAUCAGCUCGCGUUGAUUACGUCCCUGCCCUUUGUACACACCGCCCGUCGCUCCUACCGAUUGAAUGGUCCGGUGAAAUCUUCGGAUUGCUGACCAAGAUCCAGCAAUGGAGCUUGGUUGCGAGAAGUUGAUUAAACCUUAUUAUUUAGAGGAAGGAGAAGUCGUAACA